UACAGAGACCCCGAGCAUUAUCCGGAUUAAUUGGGCGUAAAGCGUUCGUAGGCGGCUUUGUAAGUCAUUUGUUAAAUCCUCAGGCUCAACCUGGGGGCUGCAGGUGAUACUGUAAGGCUCGAGUGUGGGAGAGGCAGAUGGAAUGCCCCGUGUAAGCGGUAAAAUGCGUUAAUAUGGGGUAGAACACCAAAGGCGAAAGCAAUCUGCUGGAACACAACUGACGCUCAUGAACGAAAGCGUGGGUAGCGAAAGGG
rnacentral:rRNA from 1 species